GAAAUUCCACAUUAGUCUGGUCUGGUCCACUGUGGACUUCGCAGCACGGGAAUGACAUGCUUUCUGAUUCGGGCAUUUAAGGACUAAAGUAUUCAAAAAGCAAGAUUUAUUGAAUCCGAGGCUGUUACAAGGAAGGGUCCAUGAAUGAUCGUCACCAUGAUGAUGACGGACCAAAUGCGGGACCUCCCUCCACCACUGAACAACGAGGUUCCCAUGAUGCACCAUUUGAUCAAUGGAGAUGCAUCACAGCAGGUGAUCCUGGUCCAGGUGAAUCCAGGUGAGACGUUCACCAUCCGCACGGAAGAUGGAGCUUUGCAGUGCAUCCAAGGUUUGUCCGAUGAAGGUUUUCUUUAAUUUGGUCC